rnacentral:misc_RNA from 1 species
CAUGGAUCAAGCAGGCAUGGAAGAACUGAAGGAUGACGUAGAAGAUAGUAGAGAAUGAUGCAAGCAAUAUAGCAAGCAGUUGCCAUGUCAAAAUAGAAAACAUGCAAAAGAAAUAGAAGGGAGCCCUGGAUCUUUUGGCAGAAUUAUUUGCUUCUGUAAAGACUUUAGCCGCAUUAGCAGUGUUGAUAGAUAGAAUUACAGCAUCCAAGUCAAG